rnacentral:rRNA from 1 species
UGGGGAAUUUUGGACAAUGGGCGCAGGCCUGAUCCAGCAAUGCCGCGUGCAGGAUGAGGGCCUUCGGGUUGUAAACUGCUUUUGUACGGAACGAAACGGUCUUUUCUAAUACAGAAGGCUAAUGACGGUACCGUAAGAAUAAGCACCGGCUAACUACGUGCCAGCAGCCGCGGUAAUACGUAGGGUGCGAGCGUUAAUCGGAAUUACUGGGCGUAAAGCGUGCGCAGGCGGUUUUGUAAGACAGAGGUGAAAUCCCCGGGCUCAACCUGGGAAUUGCCUUUGUGACUGCAAGGCUUGAGUGCGGCAGAGGGAGGUGGAAUUCCGCGUGUAGCAGUGAAAUGCGUAGAUAUGUGGAGGAACACCGAUGGCGAAGGCAGCCCCCUGGGUCAAGAUUGACGCUCAUGCACGAAAGCGUGGGGAGCAAACA